rnacentral:lncRNA from 1 species
UUAACACUGGUGGUAAGCGGAUGGUCGUAACUUAAAGUUACGACCAUCCGAAGAUGGGAGACAACUCUAGGGAUACAUUUUUCUUUUCCGAUUUUCGUGCAGUAAAAAAAUGUUUCAGUAAAACCGCUUGUCUCAUACAUACUAAUCGUCAGUGCGUUGAUAUUGAAACAAAAUUUGAUACAUAAAAACAUUCCAAUUUUCGUAAAAUGAUCAUUCAAUAAUUCGAGCAUGAUGGUCGUAACUAAAAAAACAAAAAUGUUCAGGAUGGUCGUAACUUAAAAUUGUGAUGGUCGUAACUCUUUAUUAAAUAGGACCUAAUAAGACAAGUCAAUAGUUUUAAACGUGUCUUUUGUUAUAUGAAUAUAUUAUAUGAUAUAUUUGUGAAGUUGAUUUCACUAAAUGAUAAAAACUAAAAGAGGUGAAGAGAGGGAUACCUGUAAAGUGCGAAAGGAAAGAAAAUUGGAACGAAUCGAAAAAAAAAACCCAAUACAAAAUGAAAUGACCAGUCACUGUUACUUAAAAUAUAAUGUAUAAAAUCAACCAAGAGGCAACUAAUUAUAAGCUGUUAAGUUUAAUAACAAUAUAAAUUCUCAAAAGUGGAGAAUUCAUUUUAACACACAGCUCUGGUUAUGAUCAUUCUUAGUUACGAAUUAAGAAAAGGCGAUUUUAACAAAUUUGACAUCACAUGAAAUAACAGUAUCCUGAUUUAUUUUCUUUAUAUUUUGCAUGUAUUGAAAAGAUAAACUUUUUAAAAACUAGUAUGUACCUACUAGGUGGAAUUUAAAAGAAAAAUCUACAAUUUAAAAUUGAUACUUUAAGUCGAAAGAGCAUAAGUAAGGAGUCAAAAUAAUGUUAUGGGGAUCGUUAUCGAGACAAGACCAUAUCCGCGAAUUCGCAGGUCCGUAAUCGAAUUAAACAACAUACAUCUUAUUCUUAGCCUGGAUUUUGAGAAGUCGUAUUGUCAUUUGGUAUAUAGUCAAGCUGAUUAUAAGGUGCAAAUUCGAAGUUCAGGUAUAAUUAUUACCCGUGGUUUUAGAAAAUUCUGAAUACGCCUAUUGGUACCAUGCUAUCCGUUAUACAUCUUUGUCUUUCUUAUGGAAAAUACCAUGAACCCUGGACCACACGUUUUUUAUUCCCAAUUCAUAAAGGGAAUGAUGCAUCCGAUCUUAAUAACUAUCGAGGAAUUACAAUUACUGAUUCAUUGGGGAAGCCUUUUUAAUAAGAUACUUGAUACACGUCUUUGUAAAUCCUUAGAUAAAUAUCAUAUCAUUGAUGAGAGCCAAAUUUGGUUUACCAAAAAAAAAAAAAAAAAAAAAAAAAAAAAAAAAAAAAAAAAAAAAAACACGACCAUCUGACCAUAUGUUCAUUCUAAAAACUAUUAUAAAUAAGUAUUGUAAUACAAAAGAAGGUAGAAUGUUUGCCUGCUUUGUUGAUUUCCAGAAGGCUUUUGAUACUGUCAUUCUCCCAGGG